rnacentral:rRNA from 1 species
AUUGAACGCUGGCGGAAUGCUUUACACAUGCAAGUCGAACGGCAGCACGGACUUCGGUCUGGUGGCGAGUGGCGAACGGGUGAGUAAUGUAUCGGAACGUGCCCAGUCGUGGGGGAUAACGUAGUGAAAAUUACGCUAAUACCGCAUACGAUCUAUGGAUGAAAUCGGGGGAUCGGAAGACCUAGCGCGAUUGGAGCGGCUGAUAUCAGAUUAGGUAGUUGGUGGGGUAAAGGCCCACCAAGCCAACGAUCUGUAGCUGGUCUGAGAGGACGACCAGCCACACUGGAACUGAGACACGGUCAAGACGCCUACGGGAGGCAGCAGUGGGGAAUUUUGGACAAUGGACGAAAGCCUGAUCCAGCCAUUCCGCGCGCAGGAUGAAGGCCCUCGGGUUGUAAACUGCUUUUGUACAGAACGAAAAGGUUUCUACUGAUACUAGGAGCUCAUGACGGUACUGUAAGAAUAAGCACCGGCUAACUACGUGCCAGCAGCCGCCGUAA